rnacentral:rRNA from 1 species
UUACAUCUCUUCGGAGCAUUUUACGUAGGUGCUGCAUGGUUGUCGUCAGCUCGUGCCGUGAGGUGUCGGGUAAGUCCCAUAACGAGCGCAACCCUACCUUUACGUUGCCAUCAGGUAAUGCUGGGGACUCUAAAGGAACUGCCUACGCAAGUAGUGAGGAAGGCGGGGAUGACGUCAAAUCAGCACGGCCCUUACGUCCAGGGCUACACACGUGCUACAAUGGCCGAUACAGAGGGCAGCUACCUGGUGACAGGAUGCAAAUCUCCAAAGUCGGUCUCAGUUCGGAUCGGAGUCUGCAGCCCGACUCCGUGAAGUUGGAUUCGCUAGUAAUCGCGCAUCAGCCAUGGCGCGGUGAAUACGUUCCCGGGCCUU